rnacentral:lncRNA from 1 species
UAGAUCUUCUUUUUGAUUUGAUUGAUCCUUGAGCUUAUCAAUUUUGCCACCCUCCAAGUCUUUCAAACUUGAUCUAACUUUUAAUUGAUCAAACUUUCUCAACUUUGAAUCUUCAUCUUUAAACUAAUUAUACUCUUCUUUUGGAUUUUUGAAAAAAACCUAAAAGCAAAACCCACUAUUCAGGCAACUUUUAUUUGAGAUAUCUUAUUUUGUUGGAACUUGAGUGGAU